rnacentral:rRNA from 6 species
GUAAUGUCUGGGAAACUGCCUGAUGGAGGGGGAUAACUACUGGAAACGGUGGCUAAUACCGCAUAACGUCGCAAGACCAAAGAGGGGGACCUUCGGGCCUCUUGCCAUCAGAUGUGCCCAGAUGGGAUUAGCUUGUUGGUGAGGUAACGGCUCACCAAGGCGACGAUCCCUAGCUGGUCUGAGAGGAUGACCAGCCACACUGGAACUGAGACACGGUCCAGACUCCUACGGGAGGCAGCAGUGGGGAAUAUUGCACAAUGGGCGCAAGCCUGAUGCAGCCAUGCCGCGUGUAUGAAGAAGGCCUUCGGGUUGUAAAGUACUUUCAGCGGGGAGGAAGGUGUUGUGGUUAAUAACCGCAGCAAUUGACGUUACCCGCAGAAGAAGCACCGGCUAACUCCGUGCCAGCAGCCGCGGUAAUACGGAGGGUGCAAGCGUUAAUCGGAAUUACUGGGCGUAAAGCGCACGCAGGCGGUCUGUCAAGUCGGAUGUGAAAUCCCCGGGCUCAACCUGGGAACUGCAUUCGAAACUGGCAGGCUUGAGUCUUGUAGAGGGGGGUAGAAUUCCAGGUGUAGCGGUGAAAUGCGUAGAGAUCUGGAGGAAUACCGGUGGCGAAGGCGGCCCCCUGGACAAAGACUGACGCUCAGGUGCGAAAGCGUGGGGAGCAAACAGGAUUAGAUACCCUGGUAGUCCACGCCGUAAACGAUGUCUACUUGGAGGUUGUGCCCUUGAGGCGUGGCUUCCGGAGCUAACGCGUUAAGUAGACCGCCUGGGGAGUACGGCCGCAAGGUUAAAACUCAAAUGAAUUGACGGGGGCCCGCACAAGCGGUGGAGCAUGUGGUUUAAUUCGAUGCAACGCGAAGAACCUUACCUGGUCUUGACAUCCACAGAACUUUCCAGAGAUGGAUUGGUGCCUUCGGGAACUGUGAGACAGGUGCUGCAUGGCUGUCGUCAGCUCGUGUUGUGAAAUGUUGGGUUAAGUCCCGCAACGAGCGCAACCCUUAUCCUUUGUUGCCAGCGGUCCGGCCGGGAACUCAAAGGAGACUGCCAGUGAUAAACUGGAGGAAGGUGGGGAUGACGUCAAGUCAUCAUGGCCCUUACGACCAGGGCUACACACGUGCUACAAUGGCGCAUACAAAGAGAAGCGACCUCGCGAGAGCAAGCGGACCUCAUAAAGUGCGUCGUAGUCCGGAUUGGAGUCUGCAACUCGACUCCAUGAAGUCGGAAUCGCUAGUAAUCGUGGAUCAGAAUGCCACGGUGAAUACGUUCCCGGGCCUUGUACACACCGCCCGUCACACCAUGGGAGUGGGUUGCAAAAGAAGUAGGUAGCUUAACCUUCGGGAGGGCGCUUACCACUUUGUGAUUCAUGACUGGGGUGAAGUCGUAACAAGGUAACCGUAGGGGAACCUGC